AGCAUCCUUUUCUUGGGGUUGUGGUACUGUCCAAUUAGCAUGUAGUGAGGGCAGUACUGCUAACGCCUUAAAACAAAAAUCCCAACUGAUUACAUUAUACAGCAAAGAACCAGGGCCCUAAGGCUUUUCUUCACUUACUGAAAUG